rnacentral:lncRNA from 1 species
UAAAAUUCGUGUAUUUUAUUGAACUUUUUUAAAAUUAUGUUAAAGAUGAAUUUUGGCUAAAGUUAGUGUAUAUAUAUGCAUGUAAUUAUCCCAAAAAUAUAUGUACCUGACUAGAAACCUUAGUCACAUGGUUUGGAAUGAACCUCCGUCCUUUGUGGUGGGUCAUUUCCACAUUCCAUGUUCUUGUGUUGAAUAAUUGAUCUCGCGUUCCCA